UGACGCUAAAGCUCGAAGGUGCGGGUAUCGAACAGGAUUAGAUACCCUGGUAGUCCGCACGGUAAACGAUGGAUGCCCGCUGUUUGCGAUAUACUGUGAGCGGCCAAGAGAAAUCGUUAAGCAUCCCACCUGGGGAGUACGCCGGCAACGGUGAAACUCAAAGGAAUUGACGGGGGCCCGCACAAGCGGAGGAACAUGUGGUUUAAUUCGAUGAUACGCGAGGAACCUUACCCGAGCUUGAACUGCCAGCGAACGAUACAGAGAUGUUGAGGCCCUUCGGGGCGCUGGUGGAGGUGCUGCAUGGUUGUCGUCAGCUCGUGCCGUGAGGUGUCGGCUUAAGUGCCAUAACGAGCGCAACCCUUUUCGUCAGUUGCCAUCAGGUGAAGCUGGGCACUCUGGCGAUACUGCCACCGUAAGGUGUGAGGAAGGUGGGGAUGACGUCAAAUCAGCACGGCCCUUACGUCCGGGGCUACACACGUGUUACAAUGGGGAGUACAGAGAGUCGGUGCAUGGCAAUGUGCAUCCAAUCAUGAAAGCUCUCCUCAGUUCGGAUUGGGGUCUGCAACCCGACCCCAUGAAGCUGGAUUCGCUAGUAAUCGC
rnacentral:rRNA from 1 species